rnacentral:rRNA from 1 species
UUCUUGGAGAGUUUGAUCCUGGCUCAGGACGAACGCUGGCGGCGUGCCUAAUACAUGCAAGUCGAGCGAAUCAAUAGGAGCUUGCUCCUGUUGGUUAGCGGCGGACGGGUGAGUAACACGUGGGCAACCUGCCUGUAAGACUGGGAUAACACCGGGAAACCGGUGCUAAUACCGGAUAAUCCUUUUCCUCUCAUGAGGAAAAGCUGAAAGUCGGUUUCGGCUGACACUUACAGAUGGGCCCGCGGCGCAUUAGCUAGUUGG